UGUGCUUCUAAGCAUUGGAAUUGAGAGCAUGUUGUUGGAGAUGGUGUCAUGGUUCAGUAGGAUGCCUAAGCUGGCAUGGCAAGAAGAGAGCUGAAAGUGAAGAGCUCAGCAAUUGUUGUGAACCGGUCCUACAGCUAAGCAACUGAGUUUUGCCCAGGGGCUGUGAAAAGUGGAACCAGAACACUGCUGUGAGUAACAAUAGGUGCCCAGAAGGAGACCCAAGCUCUGUAAAAGUAGCAAAUUUGAGUGACGUCCAGAAUGGCCUCUGCGUGGAAGAAUGUUCCACCUCAGUUCUCCUGUUCUCCUGUGCCGCUCUGGAAGCGGGGUACUUCAGUCCAUUUGAGAUCUGCAGCCUUGAACCUCCCUUGUGUGGAAAGCCUGGGGAAGUUCUGAUUUUGGUGAUCAAGAGCGUAGGAACAGCUUUUUUUACACAGCUGUAUAUUGCUGAAGAACUGUUACUGAAGUGGCGCUUUUACAGUCAAGAAAACUACAUUUAGAUGUUUUGGAUUGGAUUAAACACUCUGAAACUUACUGUAUGUUCCAGUAAAUCAGUAGUCUCUGUCAUGAAACUGAAAAUUUGAAGUAGUUAUUCUGUAUGUAGCUAAUAAAAGCGGAUUUAACUUGUAGUACAUAAGCUUAAGUAGCCAUAUUGAAAAUACUGAUUCACUGCAAUAUUGAGUUUAAUAUUUGCAAGUAGAGACAUGAUGGAAACAAGCAAUGAAUUGCUAUUUAUCAUCACCGGUGUAUUAUUUGUCUGGAAACUGUAUGCUGCUGUCCCAUGCUAGAUGCAGUUUGAUUUGAAAGUGGAAAUGUACUAGUGGUUAAAUUGAGGGAUUUUCAAUUACCUUUCCAGUAGAAGUGCUCAUCAUUGAUUGAGGUGAGGGGGUUAUCUGCUCAAAUGUCUAUCUCUUCAGAACAUGAUUUCCUCUCCACAAAUUCCUUCAGAAUCCUUGUCCAGAGUCUGAGCUGAAAGAGGAAAUUUGUGUUAAGUAUACAAAAUUUUAAAUAUCCCAAACCAGCUACAUCAGUAUGGAAAUUAAUUCACCCUCAGCUAAAGAGAAAGUAAAAAAUCCAACUCUGAAUUUCUUGUGACCAGUUAAAACAGAUUUGUUACGUAACUGUGGGACUGCAUGAUUUUACGCCUAUCUGAUAAUUAUCAGCUUUUCCUUCUGGCUAAUAGCCUGCAAUUUUUUUCCCCUUGCUCCUUGCAGGUGGUACUUCAAAAGUAGCAAUAAUACUCUUUGUUUAUAAUGUAGACUUUGAACAUUGCUGAUAUCUUCCUCUGC